CAGGGCAGCCCCUGGUGAGUCAGGGCCUGAGUCAGCGCCCUCCGCCUUCCCAGAGGCCCCGCCAGGACCUGCAGCCCUGGGCGCCCCAGCAGCCCGGCCCUGCUCAGCGCAGCUCUGGGUUGGAACUUGCACUUUCCAGUAACUCGGACCUCCCCCCGGCCGCCUUCCCAGGCGCCACCGGGCCCAGCAGAUCGUCACCGUCCAGGCUGGAGUGCAGUGGCGCGAUCUCGGCUCACCGCAACCUCCGUCUCCCCGGUUCAAGCGAUUCUCCUGCCUCAGCCUCCCAAGUAGCUGGGAUUACAGGCGUGUGCCACCACGCCCGGCGAAUGUUGUAUUUUCAGUAGAGACGGGGUUUCAGCAUGUUGGUCAAGCUGGUCUCUAACUCUUGAUCUCAAGUGAACCACCAGCCUCAGCCUCCCAAAGUGCUGGGAUUACAGGCGUGAGCCACCGCGCACGGCUAUCCCUUCCAAUAUUUCCGAGGCCAGCUGCCCAGAGAAGGAGGGCUGGGUGGAGAGGACCGUGCCAGCAGCAGUAGGCCUGGGCCAGGAGACAGGCACGCACCUCCGCGGUCUCUGGCGAGUCUAUGUCCACACAGCGGCAGGACCUCCACCCCCAGCCACCUGCAGCAGCCCCACAUCUCCACCGGGUCACCCUGCUGACAUCAAGAGUGCCUCCCGCAAUGUCCCAACCCAUGAGGGCUUCUUGGAGCUGAACCAGGGCACCGGCCACUUCUGGAGGGGGGCUGCUCGUGACUUCCGACCUCUGUCUCGCUAGUUGGCAUGAGAAGACUGGACUCCUUCUGCAGGCCUCAGGGCAGAGGCAGAUGUCAGCCCCCAGGGAUGUCACUGCCAGAACCCCAGAUGCCCCAAGCCAUCUGGACUCCCCCUGUGCAGUAUCUCUGCUACAAUAAAAUGUACCCAGAUCUGAGUCCUCUCACCUGGGCGACUGCCAAUGUCCCCUGCGGCCCUAUACCCCGCCCCCAGGAGCCCAGAGGAUCUUUCUUUUUAAAGAUAUUCAGACCUCACAGAUAAGUCUGCCCUGACCAGCCCCUCCCCAGUUCCCAGGCCCUAUCCUGACAACGGCCACAACUUCAGAGCAGCUGAAACCUGCUGUGAGUGAAAAAUGAGAAGCUGUUGUUUUAAUUUUACUUUCUCUGAUUACUAAUGAGGUUAUUUCUUCUCUGCAUAAAAACUUCAUUCGUGUUUAA
rnacentral:lncRNA from 1 species